CUUGGGUCUCCCUCCAGCUGUCCUGGCCGGGGGCAGACUCACACCAGCCCCGGGACCCAGCACACCACCCUCCAGGUGUUGCUAGGGCAGCAGCGCCUCCCAUUCAAGCCGCUAAAGUCCAGCUCCCCAGGUCCUGAGCGUUGAAUGGAAGAGAAAAAUCUCCGGGGAAGUGGAGGAGCGAAGGAAGGGGCUUCUAGAGCUUGGUCCUUGCACCUCCGCACGCAGGGGCACCUGGCCGGCGGCAGCAGCGCGGGCAGGAUCGGGCCCGUCGCGGACCCCUGGGCGGGUGAGGGAGGUGCAGUCAAUCCAAGGACCGUCCCCUCCCCCGGGCUUCAUUUCCAGGUCAGAGAAGAACCCAAAUGGGAGUGGAUUCCGCGGAGCGAGGAAGUGGUAUUUGCUCGUGUUUCCCGUGCCGGGAACGAAGGGUCCUGCUGAAACCGUGCGAUCCCCCUGAGUUUCCCCUGGCCAGACCCGAGCUGGGGGCUGAGUAAAGCUUGACCCAUCCAAGCCGCUGCGGACACUGAUGCCGGGGCCUCGGGGAGCCCAUCUGAACCUAAAGAUAUCCAUAAUGUGUGUCAGCCCCAGAAGAUUCCUUGGAGGGCAAAGUGAGAGAUCAACUAGAGGUCAAGUGAGUACUGUUUAUAGAUGGUUAACUGAACUGACAGAGAACUAUAGUAGUGGCUUCUUGUUACAACAUUUUAAGAUUUAAACUUGCUUCCCUGGGAGUUUCGCAUCUGACUUCAAUGGAAGCAAAGCUGGUCUGUUAGGGAAGAAUUUUCCACUGAAAUCCCCCCAGUUGCUUUCAUCCUAACCUGGCCUAACCUGUCAAGGAGCCCCAAACUAUGUACAUUUCCUUUGGUUUCAAGUUUUGUGACAAUAUAAUUCUUGGACCACAUUUGAAAGUUUGGAGCGAAUCUGAGCCAAGUUUUGCCUGAAUUACUUCUCUCCCCCAAGCAAGCAGAUGCCCAAGGGGAAUUUUAGCCAAGAUUGUACAAAACUUUCCAGCUUUGCUUGGAUUUCACUUUGAAAUUUCAGGUUCAUUGAGUUUUCAGGACUCUCUAAAAACCAAAAUAGUUGUUUUAACAAGAGACUCACUAUCACCUGUGCAAAGAGAAACCAUGAGGUUUGCACAAUGCUGAACUCAGCUCCAACAUCUGGAUCUCCCCAUGGGACACCCCUACUUGUGAGGAGAGCAGAGAAUUAGAAGUGCACAUCUGAAAGGAGAAAGCAUAGCUGGACUGAAACUUUGGUUACCAUCUCAUUCUAUUUACAUAUUUCCUUUAUUCUCUUUGGAGUUGACCCUUCACUGCUUCUGCUGGGAUCUGGAAAUGGGCUUGAUGAAUGAAAGCUGGAAUUCAAACACCUGAAACCCUUCAAGACAUUCAGGUCCACAAGUAAACUUCCCAGAAAUUUGCUCUGUCAGCCACAUCACAGUUCAGAAGCUGGAGAGUCCAAGUAUCCCCUAACAGCCACGUGGGCCAACUUGACAUAUUUCCCUAAGCAGCAGAAGGGGAAGGUGUAAUGUACAGGCCAGUUUGUAUAUGUCAUACUGCCCUCUAGUGACUGGAGAUUAGAGCUGAUUAAAACUAUUUUUUUAAAGAAAAACAAUACCACAAAAAUGUAUGUAGUGUAACAGUAGACUAGGAAGAGGAUUUCGUUUCCAUCAUUUUAAAGGAAUUCCUUUUGGUUUCUCAAAAAUUCCUAUGGAUUUUCUGUCUACAUUUUUAGUUUUGAAAACUGAAAUAUUUAAAGAAUUUUGUUAAAUGUUGAAAUAAAAAGGUCAACUUUGAAA